rnacentral:rRNA from 1 species
UACAGAGGGUGCUAGCGUUGUUCGGAAUCACUGGGCGUAAAGCGCGUGUAGGCGGCGCGGUAAGUCCUGUGUGAAAGCCCCGGGCUCAACCCGGGAAGUGCGCAGGAUACUGCAGUGCUUGAGUGACGGAGAGGAUGGCGGAAUACCCGGUGUAGAGGUGAAAUUCGUAGAUAUCGGGUGGAACACCUGUGGCGAAGGCGGCCAUCUGGACGUCAACUGACGCUGAGACGCGAAAGCGUGGGUAGCAAACAGG